ACACGCUUUAUUGGUUUUAAAUGUAUUAUAAUUAGAUCAACCCAAGUCGACGAUCACGUUUCUUAUAAGCUAACUAGAUUUUUUUAACAUUAGUUAAUACACUAUUAUUAGUAUCCAUUAAAGUCCAAUUGUAUAAUCCAUAAAAAUAUCAAUGAUAGCUGUAUCAUGAGGAUGUAAAUGAAGAUGCUUGUAUAUAAAUAUUGAUAACCGUUUACAUAACAUAGAUAUAUACUUCUUCAUACAUGGCGAAAGAUCUAGAUCUAAAACCAAAGAUGCUGCAUUUACCUGCAUUUGCACCUGCACCUUUCUACUUUUCUCCUCCUCCAUCUUCAUUUUCGCCACCGACCACCAUUAGCACCACCACCGUCCACCAGUCCACCGCCAUCACAUAAUCAUAUGGUGUGAGUGGAAUAAGAGAAGAAAGGUGUAGGGCAAGUGCAGGCUAAUGCAAUUUUUGGGUUCAUGUAAUCAUAUGAUUAUCUUUUGUCUACAAAACUGUAUCAGUAUGAUCAAUUUCAUGAUACAUGUUUAAUGUGAACACUCAACCGGAUUAGCAGAAGCCCAUUAUGAAGUUGAAAUUCUGAACUCACCCGACACCAACAACUACACCAGGUAUGUAAAUCACUUUUUUUAGUAUGUAAUCAUUUUUUACGUUUGAGAAGAAUCUGUGUUGUAAUUCAUGUUUUAAGACAAGUCUUUAUGUAAAAGUAUUACUUUAUUUUAAACUUAUUUUCUAAUAAACUCGUGUAGUAUACGGGUAUCACACCUAUUAUAUAUAUAUAUAUAUAUAUAUAUAUAUAUAUAUAUAUAUAUAUAUAUAUAUAUAUAUAUAUAUAUAUAUUGUCCGAUUCAUCAAAUCAAUAUCGAAAGCUUUUGGCUCCAAUCAAUCCUCUCUAUAUGACAAUAGUUUUUGUCUAUUUUAACAUUUGUAUCUGAACUUGAGAUAUUUUUUUAUGUAUAUAAAUUAUUGGCCUAUUAAUGUGUCAAAACAAUGGCUGCAAAACCAUUGCCGUAAAACUACCAACACCCACAAUUAUCUAGUGUUUGUUCCACGUUUCACUACCUGAUCACCAGUAUUACUUUCACCAAUAGCAUAUGUAGUACAUCCUGACAUUCACAUGUUUACUUUUAACCAAUUAACUCAUCACCGAUUCCCCACAUCCCAAUCCCUUGUAGUCAUUGUUAUGUCACAUAGUACCUUCAUAAGUAUAUGUGUUUCGUCCUGUAUUACACCUUAUAGAAAUUCAAUAUAUAACAUAUUUAUCAUUCAAAAUAGCCCUUCAUUUGUCCCAAUUCGCAAAUGAACUUGGAAAUUCUUAAGGUAGCAUGAGCGUGGCUAUUCAUCAAUUGAGGUUGUUGUAAUCACAUGACGCCACACUCUGAUAUCUUUAUUGUUGGUGCAUUUUAUCAUUUUGUGUAUAUGAUUAAUACUUCAUGCAAAUAUCGUUUUGUUGUAAUCAUAACAAAUAUGAAACUCUUAUCUUAUUGUACGUUAUAUUAGUUGUUUAUCUAGCUAGUGUGGAUAUUUAUAUUAAAGCAUAAAAUGAUGAUGAGUAGAUAAAUGGAUCCUUCAUUUUUAUAAAGGAUAUUGCAUUUGGAUACAUAAAUUUUUUAUGAAGCGAUGAACACAAAACUUGGAAAGAAAACUAAAUUUUGGUCGUAUCAAGCCUCAAAUUGCCAUAGAACGACCGGACAAUAAAAUAUAUUAUUUGGGUAAUAUGUGGAUAUUAGUUUAUAUAUAGUUAUUGAUUGCUAAAAUCAUUAUUUUAUCAUCAAUUACUAACAUGCAUUAACUUUCAUCGCGUAAGUCAAAGUUCAUUUCAAAAAUCUAACAUCAUUUCAUAAGAAAAUUAAGGGGAUCAACACAAUGAUUAGAAAUUUAUAUAUACCUUAGAGAUGUUGGAAAUUCACCCAAAUAUGUUAACUCUUAUAGAAGCUUAAACAAAUGACCAAUAUGGUACCAAAAGCAGACACUAAAAUUAAAUACCAAUUCGUCUCACACAAAAUAUUGGUGCAAAAUAAAGUUUAAAAAUGAUAUGGAUUUUAUGUAUUGUAAAUGUGAGCCUUGGAGUCUUCUUUUACAUAUAAUUAACUUUUUUUAGUAUAUAUAUUUGGAACAUGUAGCUAUAAUUAACGGUAUAUAUCUGUCAUUAAAGUAAUUAAUACAAUUUACCAAAGGACCUUUCGCCUAGCGGUAAGAAAUAACUCUUUCGUUUUAGAGGUAAUAGAUUAAAGUCUCGUAGGAAACAUGGAUGGUAAUAGUUAGGAGUAGAUUAGUUUGUUGUUUCAAAUAUAUAUAUAUAUAUAUAUAUAUAUAUAUAUAUAUAUAUAUAUAUAUAUAUAUAUAUAUAUAUAUAUAUAUAUACACUCUAAUAAAUAAGAAUAUUUUUGUCAUUUGUUAUCUUCUUAUUCAAUAUGCCACAUGUAAUUUUAUUGAAUUUUUGAAUAAAAAUAUCCACAUGUAUGACAUUUGUAGUGUUUUUGUAAUUAAUUGAUUUACUUAAUGUUUUAUUUCCAUUAAAAUUUGUAUUAAAGAAAAUUUCAUAUGUUGCCGUUUCUUUUGCUGGUAUUACGCAUAUCAUAAUAUUUGCAUUCUAUAUCAUUUUUAACUGAUAAUCUCAUAUCAUUUUCUAAUUAAUAGAUUAUUUCUUUUAUGACAUUUCAACUCACCAUAAAAUUAUUCACGCCCAUUGUUGCAAUCAUUCAAAUCUUUGUAAAUCUGAUCAAUAUACUUAGUCCCUCAUUACAGGAAGCCCAUUAUGAAGUUGAAAUUCUAAACUCACCCAACACCAACAAUUACAUCAGGUAUGGAAAUCACUUUUUUUUUGUAUGUAAUCAUUUUUUACGUUUGAGAAGAAUCUGUGUUGUAAUUCAUGUUUUAAGACAAGUAUUUAUGUAAAAGUAUUACUUUAUAUUAAACUUAUUUUCUAUUAAACCCGUGUAGUACACGGGUCUUACACCUAGUGUGUGUGUGUAUAUAUAUAUAUAUAUAUAUAUAUAUAUAUAUAUAUAUAUAUAUAUAUAUAUAUAUAUAUAUAUCGUCCAAGCAGUGGUGGACGCAGACUGUUUUAGUAGGAGUGCCUCUUGUACUUCAAGCGAGUGCAUCUAAUAGAAAAAAAAAAUUACACUACGUGCUGGAAAUUAAGCAGUGGCCUAGGACCCCAAAUGGCCCACUAAGGUUCACCACUGCGUCCAAGUCAUCAAAUAAAUAUCGAAAGUUUUUGGCUCCAAUCGAUCCUCUCUAUAUUACAAUAAUUUUUGUGUAAUUUUAACAUUUGUAUCUGAACUUGAGAUAUUUUUUAUGAAUAUAAUUAUUGUCCUA